AGCUAGAUCUAGUCCUACAAAUUUGACCAAUACAACUAUCUAAACUAAUUUUCAAAACAUUUAUAUAAUUAUUCAUCUUAGUAUAGGUGAUAGAACAGAUAAAUCUUAGGCACAAUAGAGAGAGUACCGUGAGGGAACGUUGAAAGAUACCAUCCUGUAAGCAAUAAAAAGCAAAGAUUAAAUCUUCUACCUUUUGCAUAAUGAUUUAGCCAGUCUACACGGACAAAAAGAAUUAAAGCCCGUCUUCCCGAAAUUGAGUGAGCUAUUGUAGAACAGUUAUCAGAACGAACUCGUCUAUGUAGCAAAAUAGUGAGAUGAUUUUACAAUAGGGGUGAAAAGCCUAUCGAACUUAAUGAUAGCUGGUUAUCCAAAAAACGAAUUUUAGUUCAACUUUAAAUUUAACUCAAGUACUAAUAGACUAAAUUUAAAUUUAAAUGUUAAUCAAAAGGGGGACAACUCCUUUUGACAUGUGAACAAACUUACUUAGUGGGUAAUGAUAUUUACACAAAACAUUGUAGGCCUAAAAGCAGCCACCAAUUAAGAAAAGCCGUUAAAAGCUCAAACUAUUAUGUCAUUUAAAUACCCAAUAGUCUAUCAAAACCCCUAAUCUAAUAUUGGAUAAUUCUAUUAAUAUUUAGGAGAUAUAAUGCUAAUAUGAGUAACAUGAAUAGAUUCUCCUUGCAUAAGCAUAAAUAUGACCGGAACAACCGCUUACACUUAAUCAACUAAAUAACUAUAACCACAUACAAGCAUUCUAUUACCAACAUUGUUAACCCAACUUAGGCAUGCAUAUAAGGAAAGAUUAAAAGGAAUAAAAGGAACUCGGCAAACAAAACCCCGCCUGUUUACCAAAAACAUCACCUCUAGCAUUUACCAGUAUUUAGAGGCACUGGCUGCCCGGUGAGUUAUGACUUUAACGGCCGCGGUAUCCUGACCGUGCAAAGGUAGCAUAAUCACUUGUCUCUUAAUUGGAGACUGGUAUGAAUGGCAUAACGAGGGUUUGACUGUCUCUUAUUCCUGAUCAGUGAAAUUGACCUCCCCGUGCAGAGGCGGGGAUAUAUUUACAAGACGAGAAGACCCUGUGGAGCUUAAGUCUAAUAACUCAACACAUACAUAUACUAACCCAUCGGAACAAAUCGUAUAAGCUCCUGAGUUAUAGUCUUUGGUUGGGGUGACCUCGGAGCACAGAACAACCUCCGAAUGAUUAUAACCUAGAUUAACCAAUCUAAGUGUACCAAUACCAGUAAUUGACCCAUUUCUUGAUCAACGGAACAAGUUACCCCAGGGAUAACAGCGCAAUCCUAUUUGAGAGCCCAUAUCGAAAAUUAGGGUUUACGACCUCGAUGUUGGAUCAGGACAUCCCAAUGGUGCAGCCGCUAUUAAUGGUUCGUUUGUUCAACGAUUAAAGUCCUACGUGAUCUGAGUUCAGACCGGAGAAAUCCAGGUCGGUUUCUAUCUGUAACUUUAUUUCUCCCAGUACGAAAGGACAAGAGAAAUAGGGCCAACGUCCCUAAUAAGCCCUAGAACUAAUACAUGAAUUCAUCUUAAUGACAUUAUUCAAUAAGAUUAUUAUCCUAGAAUAGGGU
rnacentral:rRNA from 1 species